GACGAACGCUGGCGGCGUGCUUAACACAUGCCAGUCGAACGGUGAAGCGCCUUCCUUUUUGGUGGGUGUGGAUGAGUGGCGAACGGGUGAGUAACACGUGAGUAACCUGCCCCCUUCUUCUGGAUAACCGCAUGAAAGUGUGGCUAAUACGGGAUAUUCUGGGUCUGUCGCAUGAUGGGUCUGGGAAAGAUAUUGUUUCGGUGGGGGAUGGGCUCGCGGCCUAUCAGCUUGUUGGUGGGGUGAUGGCCUACCAAGGCGGUGACGGGUAGCCGGCCUGAGAGGGUGGACGGUCACACUGGGACGGAGACACGGCCCAGACUCCGACGGGAGGCAGCAGGGGGGAAUAUGGAACAAUGGGCGGAAGCCUGAUGCAGCGACGCCGCGUGAGGGAUGGAGGCCUGCGGGUUGUGAACCUCUUUCGCCAGUGAAGCAGGCCUGCCUCGUUUGUGGGUGGGUUGACGGUAGCUGGAGAAGAAGCGCCGGCUAACUACGUG
rnacentral:rRNA from 1 species